AGAAAAGACAGAAAUUGGUGCAGUAAAGUUCACUGGAUUGCAGAGAAUUCCCCUUUCCCAUGUUUAUUGCACCAUAUACACCAGCUAACCUUUAUUUCUUCCUCUGCAGACUUGGACAGCAGUCCAUCCUCAACAUUCAGGCCGUCUCCAGCUACAGUGCUAAAAGUCCUAACGGCUACCACAGUAGCAGCAGCUCUCCUGCUCCAAAGCUGCUGAUAAAGACCACUGAGAUGAGAGAUAACAGCCGAUACAGCACUCACUGAGAGCACUAUACACAUCUUUAAAUGUGUCAGGGUGCACAUUUCACUACUAACUGUAACUUAGAGUAAUGAAAAAUUAAAUCAUCGAAACUCUGGAAUUAAAGAGGAAAUAGCAGCGGGCACCAUUGUUUCUAAUAUGAACAUAUUCACUGUAGUCUGUGAAGGAGAAUCUGAUUUUAGUCACAUGGGGCCUUGAACAGGCACUGUGGUAGGCUGCUGUAUUGUUUUCUGUGUAAUCCAUAGGAAUAUAAGAAUGUUGUAGACUUGAAAAUCAUUUUGGAGAUCCUGUUAGAGUUUUAGAGUCACUGGGUUUGAGUUGUCACUUUUCUGCUGCUUUCGCAAAUAAAGUGAACAAAAAGGC